UAUGUAUCUGCAGUAUGCACCAAAAAGGUCAGCUAAGCUUCCGCAAUUUUAGGAGCCAGACACAUUGGUAUAAACAAUCACACAUAUUUCAAUUGUGAGUCAUGUUUCUCAAGUCAUUUCUCUUCACGAUUCACAUAUUUUACAGAUAAUUAAUUGCCUCGAAUAUAGUAGCCCUCUACUUGUGAACAAACUGCGUUUUAUUUUAUUUGAAUAAAAGACCCUACUAAGCAUGCAAGAGAUCCUACUUAACUCCAGCACUCAAGUAGCUUGAGUUAACAUCAAGAUUGCAGAGUAACGGUCCCCUAACCUUUUUAUAUAGUAAAUCAAAAACCAUUUCCAUUAUCCAAAAGUUGAGUAAUAAUCUGAAUAGUUUCUGUAAUCGACUAAUAAAUACUCCCAAGCCUUAGCCUUACACUUAUGUAUUUUCAGAAUCCUAUGAACUUACACAGUGCCUCUGCUGCAGCUCUAUCAUAGCUGCCCUUGCUGUCUACGACAACCUCUCCAUCUAUUCACAACUUUUGCACACUGAUGAGUCAAUAGCUCUUCAAGCCAAAAUCUCAUUACUGAAAUUAUGUUCAGAGUUGGACUUUUCUAUAUGAUUCAUUCACCAUUAUUAGAAAAAACGAUAGAAUACAUGACUUAAAUGGAUAUAUUUGUAUCCUUUCCAUGUCCAUUCUCCUCAACAUGCAUAAAAAAAGUUUAGGAAAUGCAGAAAAAAUGAACCAUCGAGCAUUAUUCCUUUUCCAACUCAUCUACAAUAACGUUGGUCGGUGGAAGCAGAAAUCUAUACAGAUGUUUUGCUAGAUGGUUCUACUUUUCAAGACAAACAGAAGAAGAAGGGAAUGCAAAACGAGAGAGAGAAGGGAAAAAGGAGCCAGUGUGAUCAUAAGUCAUAUCAGAACCCUUAUGUUAUUAGAAUCCUAAUCAGAGGACGGCAGGAGGAGGAGGAGUCGGUCUGAGAGAGUGGUGAAGUGCAACGGUAGCGGCAGCUGCGCUUUGACGCUACUGAUAAUUGUAGUUGUGAUGGUGGUGGAGGAAGUGGCGGCGAAGCCAAAG